ensembl:lncRNA
GGGGGAAUUGGGAUUUCUGGGAGCAGAUGGGAUUGUCAGAAUUUCUUCAGUAACAGGCAUUUCUGCUGUUUAUUGUUCAUAAAUCCUUUCAGAGCAAGCUAUAUUGGUCAGGAUUCCUUUUGGAGCAAGCAGGUUUGGUCAGAAAUCCUUUGGGAGGAGAUAAGAGUGGUCAGGAUUUCUAUGGGAGUGGGUUGGAUUGUUAAGAAUUUCUUUUGGACCAGAUGGGAUUGGUUAGAAUUCCUUUUGAAGAAGCAGCAUUGGUCAGAAUUCCUUUUGGACCAGAUGGAAUUGGACCGAAUUCCUUUGGGAGUAGAUGGGAUUGCUCAGAACUCCUUUUGGAGCAAACGGGAUUGGUCAGAACUCCUUUUGGAGCAGAUGGGAUUGAUCAGAACUCCUUUGGAGCAGGUGGGAUUGAUCACAACUCCUAUGGAGCAGGUGGG